rnacentral:rRNA from 1 species
UACGGAGGGGGCUAGCGUUGUUCGGAAUUACUGGGCGUAAAGCGUACGUAGGCGGACUGAUCAGUUGGGGGUGAAAUCCCAGGGCUUAACCCUGGAACUGCCUUCAAUACUGUCAGUCUUGAGUUUGGGAGAGGUGAGUGGAAUUCCUAGUGUAGAGGUGAAAUUCAUAGAUAUUAGGAGGAACACCAGUGGCGAAGGCGGCUCACUGGCCCAUUACUGACGCUGAGGUACGAAAGCGUGGGGAGCAAACAGGAUUAGAAACCCUAGUAGUCC